AGUCGAGCGAAAGAUANGGAGCUUGCUCCUUUGACGUUAGCGGCGGACGGGUGAGUAACACGUGGAUAACCUACCUAUAAGACUGGGAUAACUUCGGGAAACCGGAGCUAAUACCGGAUAACAUAUUGAACCGCAUGGUUCAAUAGUGAAAGGCGGCUUUGCUGUCACUUAUAGAUGGAUCCGCGCCGUAUUAGCUAGUUGGUAAGGUAACGGCUUACCAAGGCAACGAUACGUAGCCGACCUGAGAGGGUGAUCGGCCACACUGGAACUGAGACACGGUCCAGACUCCUACGGGAGGCAGCAGUAGGGAAUCUUCCGCAAUGGGCGAAAGCCUGACGGAGCAACGCCGCGUGAGUGAUGAAGGUCUUCGGAUCGUAAAACUCUGUUAUCAGGGAAGAACAAAUGUGUAAGUAACUGUGCACAUCUUGACGGUACCUGAUCAGAAAGCCACGGCUAACUACGUGCCAGCAGCCGCGGUAAUACGUAGGUGGCAAGCGUUAUCCGGAAUUAUUGGGCGUAAAGCGCGCGUAGGCGGUUUUUUAAGUCUGAUGUGAAAGCCCACGGCUCAACCGUGGAGGGUCAUUGGAAACUGGAAAACUUGAGUGCAGAAGAGGAAAGUGGAAUUCCAUGUGUAGCGGUGAAAUGCGCAGAGAUAUGGAGGAACACCAGUGGCGAAGGCGACUUUCUGGUCUGUAACUGACGCUGAUGUGCGAAAGCGUGGGGAUCAAACAGGAUUAGAUACCCUGGUAGUCCACGCCGUAAACGAUGAGUGCUAAGUGUUAGGGGGUUUCCGCCCCUUAGUGCUGCAGCUAACGCAUUAAGCACUCCGCCUGGGGAGUACGACCGCAAGGUUGAAACUCAAAGGAAUUGACGGGGACCCGCACAAGCGGUGGAGCAUGUGGUUUAAUUCGAAGCAACGCGAAGAACCUUACCAAAUCUUGACAUCCUUUGACCGCUCUAGAGAUAGAGUCUUCCCCUUCGGGGGACAAAGUGACAGGUGGUGCAUGGUUGUCGUCAGCUCGUGUCGUGAGAUGUUGGGUUAAGUCCCGCAACGAGCGCAACCCUUAAGCUUUGUUGCCAUCAUUAAGUUGGGCACUCUAAGU
rnacentral:rRNA from 1 species